AGAGUUUGAUCCUGGCUCAGGAUAAACGCUGGCGGCGUGCCUAACACAUGCAAGUCGAACGCCUUCUGGCUCCGGUCAGAGGGAGUGGCGGACGGGUGAGUAACACGUGGGUAAUCGACCCUCAAGUGAGGAAUACCGCCGGGAAACCGGUGACAAUACCGCAUAGGCUCUCGCAAGAGAGCAAAGCUUCGCAAGAGGCGCUUGAGGACGAGCCUGCGUCCGAUUAGUUAGCUGGUGGGGUAAUGGCCUACCAGGGCAAUGAUCGGUAGCUGGUCUGAGAGGAUGAUCAGCCACACUGGGAUUGAGAACGGCCCAGACUCCUACGGGAGGCAGCAGUGAGGAAUUUUCCGCAAUGGGGGGAACCCUGACGGAGCAACGCCGCGUGCAGGAUGAAGGUCUUCGGAUCGUAAACUGCUUUUCUCGGGGAAGAGAACGGACGGUACCCGAGGAAUAAGCCCCGGCUAACUACGUGCCAGCAGCCGCGGUAAUACGUAGGGGGCGAGCGUUAUCCGGAAUUACUGGGCGUAAAGCGCAUGCAGGCGGUUUUCCAAGUUCCGGCUGACAAUCACGUAGCUUAACUCGUGAAGGUGUCGGAAAACUGGGAGACUUGAGACAUCGAGAGGCAGAUGGAAUUCCGUGUGGAGCAGUGAAAUGCGUAGAGAUGCGGAAGAACACCAGAGGCGAAGGCGAUCUGCUGGCGAUGCUCUGACGCUCAGAUGCGAAAGCCAGGGGAGCGAACAGGAUUAGAUACCCUGGUAGUCC
rnacentral:rRNA from 1 species